rnacentral:Y_RNA from 1 species
GGCUGGUCCCAAGGUAGUAAAUUUUCUCAACCGGUUAUUCACAGUCGGUUACCCUUUGUGCCACUCUUUCCCCACUUCCACUUGAUUAGUCUUUU